GCCGGGGCUGGGCCUGGCUCCGGGGCUGGGGCUCCGUCCCGCAGCAGCCAUGAGCUUCGGCUUCGGGUCGGGCGCGGCGGGCAGCGGCUUCGGUUUGGGCACACCGAAGACGACCGGCACCACGGCCACGACGGGCUUUUCGUUCUCCACGCCCGCCGCUUCGGGGGGCUUCAGCUUCGGCAGCACGGCCCAGACGCCGGCCAGCAGCCAGCCCUUCUCCUUCAGCAAGCCGGCCGCCGCCACGCAGCCCCCCAGCUUCAGCUUCGGGACGCCGACCACGGCGACUGCGGCUCCCACAACCACCGUGUUCCCUCUGGGGAUGAAUGCACCAAAGUUAAGCUUUGGAGGCAGUGCUGCAACACAAGCUACUGGAAUCGCAGGGGGCUUUGCAUUUGGUAGGUCUGCACCAACCAGCGUGGCCUCGAGUCAAGCAGCAGCCCCUACUGGCUUUGUGUUUGGAUCUGCUGGCACCACCACCAGCAGCAGCAGCAGCACCACCACAGCUCAGUCUGGGACAACUGGAGGAUUUACUUUUUCCAGUGGUAGCACAACUCAGGCUGGCACAAGCACCUUCAACAUCGGCACCGCAGCUCCCCAAGCACCAUCCACCGGGCUGACCUUUGGGACAGCAACUGCUGCCACCACUGCUGCCACCUUGGGAACUGCAACCCAGUCAGCAGCCCCCUUCAGCCUUGGGGGACAGACCACAGGUCUAAGCUUUGGAUCAUUGACUUCAACAGCAGCCACUAGUGCACCCACAGCAACGCUGACUGCCAGUAGCAGCCAGGGACCUACUCUGGCCUUUGGAAGCAAACCUGGAGUAACAUCCACAGCUGCCACAACUGCAGCCACCACCACAACCUCCAUUCUUGGCACAACAGGGCCUACCCUGUUUUCAUCUAUAGUGAGUUCUUCAGCACCGACGUCGUCUACCGCCACAGGCCUCUCACUUACUGCCCCUUCCACUGGGACAGCCAGUCUUGGAUCACUUGGCUUUGGACUGAAGGUUCCUGGAACAACAGCUGGUACAACAAGCACUGCCACUAGCACUACUACUGCUUCUGGCUUUGCUUUGAAUCUUAAGCCAUUAACUACAACUGGUGCCAUUGGAGCUGUGACUUCUGCAGCUGCCAUCACCACCACCACAGCCAGCAGUGCCCCUCCAGUGAUGACUUAUGCCCAGCUGGAGAGUUUGAUAAACAAGUGGAGCCUGGAACUGGAAGACCAAGAGAAACACUUCCUUCACCAAGCCACACAAGUGAACGCCUGGGAUCGGACGCUGAUAGAGAAUGGAGAGAAGAUUACUUCAUUACACAGAGAAGUAGAGAAAGUGAAACUUGAUCAGAAGAGACUGGAUCAGGAGCUAGACUUCAUUCUAUCACAGCAGAAAGAGCUUGAAGACUUGUUGACCCCUCUGGAGGAGUCUGUGAAGGAACAGAGUGGGACCAUCUACUUGCAGCAUGCGGAUGAAGAACGGGAGAGGACCUUUAAACUGGCUGAAAAUAUCGAUGCUCAGUUGAAGCGGAUGGCACAAGACCUGAAGGACAUCACUGAGCACCUGAACACAUCCCGAGGCCCAGCAGACACCAGCGACCCGCUUCAGCAGAUCUGUAAAAUCUUGAAUGCUCACAUGGAUUCACUGCAGUGGAUUGACCAGAACUCAGGCCAAAAGCAUGUGGAUCCUGCAGGAAAGCCUCCUGGAGCUACUGCAGGACCUAGAUGACGAGGUGGUUGAAACGACCCUCUCCUUGCUCAAAAUGAUGCUCCAGGCUGCCAACAGCCCAGUUUGCAGCACCCUCGUUCUGGAGCUGACUGGGAGGCUCCAGCCACUCUUUCACCACACCACCAGCAGUGUGCAGCUGCUCUCCCUUGAGCUCUUCCAACGUCUGAUGCAGUCUGUCAACAAAAAGGAAAGACAGCCGAUGAAGACACGGGUGUAUGAGAACGUGAUCGAACUGCUCUGCCUCCUGCAUGCCGAGAGCCCGGAGGUGGCAGAGGCCUCUCGGGUAACCCUGCUUGGAGCUGCCGCCUUCCUGAAGAAGAGGAGGCUCAGAAAGCUCCCGGAGAAGAGGAAGACAUUGGAAGUGGGCAAUGUCCCCUGUCCGUCUGCAGCUGUCAGGGUGCGGCAGCAGAGCCGCGCACUAUGUACAGCAGGCAGCGCGGUGCCUUUGGAGCCAUCAGCAGCCCAUACGAGAGGCGGCCGUCAGGUUCCUGGGGCUCGCCGGGCAGCACCUGAGGGGGCAUCAGGAAUUGCUGCAGCCCAUCCAUGAGGCCCUUGAAAACCUGCCAGAAGACACCGUCUCGUCAGUAGCAAACCUGGCAGCUCAAACGCAGUGCACCCUGAGAGAUGCAGAGAGAGCAGCUCCCUCCAGACUCAGCCUGCGAGAGUGGCUCCGCAGGGCCUGGAGCAGACGGCCUUCUCUCUGGGCCCGUCGCUGACCGGGCAGCUGCAGCUCUGAGCGGGGCCCAUGCCAGGGGCUAUUCCAUGAGCUCCUCCCUGUGCUCCAUGGCAAACCUUGGACCUACCAGCAGUUUUCUUUUGCAUCGUUGCUCAGUAGUUUAGACACCGAGUUUAGCACUUGGGUUUCUUCCAGUUUGUGUACGUUUGAUUUUCUGGCUUUCUUCACCCUGUGAGAACCAUUUUCUACAGCUGGAAACUCUUUGUUACCCUUCGUGUCAACAAAACUGGAUUUGUUCCGUGUUGUUUGAGGGACGCAAAGUGCUUUGGUAAAAACAAUAAAGCUCCGUCAUCAAACCUUA